GUGAACGCUGGCGGUAGGCCUAACACAUGCAAGUCGAACGGCAGCACAGUAAGCGCUUGCUCUUACGGGUGGCGAGUGGCGGACGGGUGAGGAAUACAUCGGAAUCUACUUUUUCGUGGGGGAUAACGUAGGGAAACUUACUCUAAUACCGCAUACGACCUACGGUUGAAAGUAGGGGAUCUUCGGACCUUGCGCGAUUGAAUGAGCCGAUGUCGGAUUAGCUAGUUGGCGGGGUAAAGGCCCACCAAGGCGACGAUCCGUAGCUGGUCUGAGAGGAUGAUCAGACACACUGGAACUGAGACACGGUCCAGACUCCUACGGGAGGCAGCAGUGGGGAAUAUUGGACAAUGGGCGCAAGCCUGAUCCAGCCAUACCGCGUGGGUGAAGAAGGCCUUCGGGUUGUAAAGCCCUUUUGUUGGGAAAGAAAAGCAGCAGGUUAAUACCCCGCUGUUCUGACGGUACCCAAAGAAUAAGCACCGGCUAACUUCGUG
rnacentral:rRNA from 1 species